AAACAAACAAACAGAGAACGAAAAAGGCCAAGAGGAUGAACGAGAGUGCGAAUGCCAUUGCUCACCAUCCACCACCUUCAGAUAAUCUACCACUGUCACCGGGUUUUGGAAAAAGAAUACUGGAGGAUCAUCCAGAUUUUUGCUACGCUUUUUGAAUUUGUUAAAAAUACAAAAGCAUGUACUUAUAAAAACAAAGCUAUUGAAAAUUAGAGGACACUGACAUUUUGUUUGGGAGGAAUAGAGCUCCUGGAGUUGGUGCAAAAUAUAUGGACGAUGCAGUUGAAGUUAUGACUGAGGAAGGAGAAAAGCGAUGAAUUCUCCUAUUGCACAAGAACACGUCAACAUUUGGUAUAAUAAGUUAUGCAAUUGAGCCUUGUCAAAGAAAAAAGAGUAGAAAAGAUCCACUUCGAAACAAUUUUUUAGUUUGAGAUUUUGAAUGUUGUUUAAAAAAAACCCAUGUAUUGUACACUUUCUCUCUCUAAAAUAUUUUAGUUGGCAAGA